rnacentral:misc_RNA from 1 species
UCCCGGUUGGCCCGGGCAGUCUCGCCUGAAAAAUACAACAGACGACAAGGGUUGCGCUCGUUGCGGGACUUAACCCAACAUCUCACGACACGAGCUGACGACGGCCAUGCAGCACCUGUCACUAGGCUCCCGAAGGCACCCCUCUGUUUCCAGAGGGUUCCUAGGAUGUCAAGCCUUGGUAAGGUUCUUCGCGUAGCGUCGAAUUAAACCACAUCAUCCACCGCUUGUGCGGGUCCCCGUCAAUUCCUUUGAGUUUUAAGCUUGCGCUCGUACUCCCCAGGCGGCACACUUAACGCGUUAGCUUCUCAGCCCAGGGGGUCGAUACCCCAGACUAAUAGUGUGCAUCGUUUACGGCGUGGACUAC